rnacentral:rRNA from 1 species
CCUACGGGGGGCUGCAGUGGGGAAUAUUGGACAAUGGGGGGAACCCUGAUCCAGCCAUGCCGCGUGUGUGAAGAAGGCCCUCGGGUUGUAAAGCACUUUCAGUGAGGAAGAACGCCUGGUGGUUAAUACCCAUCAGGAAAGACAUCACUCACAGAAGAAGCACCGGCUAACUCCGUGCCAGCAGCCGCGGUAAUACGGAGGGUGCGAGCGUUAAUCGGAAUUACUGGGCGUAAAGCGCGCGUAGGUGGCUUGAUAAGCCGGUUGUGAAAGCCCCGGGCUCAACCUGGGAACGGCAUCCGGAACUGUCAAGCUAGAGUGCAGGAGAGGAAGGUAGAAUUCCGGUGUAGCGGUGAAAUGCGUAGAGAUCGGGAGGAAUACCAGUGGCGAAGGAGGCCUUCUGGACUGACACUGACACUGAGGUGCGAAAGCGUGGGUAGCAAACAGGAUUAGAUACCCGAGUAGUC